UACAUCUAUAUCCAUUUGGGUUUUACGUCACACCGACACAGUAUAGGUCAUAUGGCAUUAUUUCAGGCACAAACGGACACCUGAGUAGAACUACUGACGUUCUGUAAGCUAGCUGGAUAGCUUCCUGAUAUGAAAGAAUCAAAAUUCCCUGUUGGGAUUCGAACCCCCAUUCGAAUCCAUCUCCUAGAGAUCAAAGUUGACUGGUAUACUAAAUAUUUUAUGAAUAAGAAUAGGAAAUGUCAGAAGUCCUGUAAUGUACAUUUUUUUAAUCAUUUUGUUUUACUGCCAAAAAUUAUUUUUUGGUUUUUGAGAAGAUGGAAGUUUUAACUAAAACUUAAUGUAGCAUGCUAACCUGUUACUGCAUCCAUUUUGUCCACACUAAAAUCAGGCUGAUUUAGAUCAUUCUCAAAUAUGUCCUGUAACACACUGUAUGUCUUUGUCUCGUCCUUCCUAUUAACAUAUAAACAUACAUAUAUUUAUUUUGUUUGGUGAUACAAUAAAGGUCAUAUUAAGAUUUUCCAGCUUUUUAAGUUAUGGAGAAAAAACCCAGUGAGCCCUUUCUCUAAAAAGGCAAUAGGUUAAGUUUUUGUAUGAUUUUCUCCUGCUUAAAAUCUAUGUUUUACUGUUAUAAAUUCAUGAAAACAUUAAGAGUUUGGUGCAAUAAUUAUGCAUCUGCAAUUUUGAAAAAAAAAAUCAAUAGUAUUGCAUCAAACCCACAAAAUACUUUACUUUGUUUGAAGACCUGGAUUUGAGACAGAUUACUAUAAUUAUCAGUGCCAUAAUUGAUUGUAACAAAGUCACUGGACUUAAUUUCCUCUGCAUCAUAUGAUGAGUAUUAGUCAUAUAGUGGAAGUCAUUAUAGUCUUACCAAGUUGGGACAAGAGAGAAUGAAAAGCAGGGACAUUUGUUAAUCUGUCCUCACAUGAUUCAGGGCUUCCAUUAUUAGUUCCAAAAUUUGGAAGUCAGACACUGCAAAAUGUCUGAAAUUGGAACCAGAGCAGAGUGCAUUACUGGUACUGGAACUGCAGUGCAUGCUGCAGCGAUUUUGCAAGUUCUGGUACUGAUACUGAAUUACUCUUAAAAAAUUUUGAUACUACUGUCCUAAAAAAUGGUACUGCUACUGCAUAACAAGGCAGUACUUUAGUUUUCAUAAAAUUGUCAUCAAUUUUUCUCUUAAAGUAAAGCUGUAAAUUCCAUGUAUUAUUCUAUUAUUUUAGUGAAAAGGUAAAUUAUCAAAUCUAUAGAUACUUUGCUGCAAUAUUCCUUCAAAUGUUAAUGUAAUAUUCAUCAUAAAAAGAAGGACCAAAGACUUGAAGUAAAAAUUAAAUUGAGAUAAAAAGACUCACUAACUCUUUAUCUUAAAAUAUCAUUAUUACAAUCUUUUAUUACUUUGUAUUUAGUAGACUAAGUACAAAAACAAAAAUAUAUAAACACUAAUUAAUUGCUUCUAUUCUAAAUAAUCCUAUUUCAAGUGAUAUUGUUUAGCACCAUAAAAAAUUGUUAUUUACUUUGGUAUAAAUUGAACAGAGGUGUGAACAAAAGACUGUGUUUUAAAUGAAAGAUGAUUGCAUUGUAUUACAGAUGACUGGUUACUAAACAAUAAGAUAUGACAUGAAUAUAUGUUUUAAAUAUUGUUUGUAAAAAGAAUGUUAAAUCAUUAAAGUUGUAAAAUGUAAUGUUAACUUUAAAGUAAAUAAUGGUUUUAUUUCUUUGCUUGGAUAAUGGUUGCAAUUAUUGUGUUUGACCGUGUAUUUAUUCAAACUUUGAUGAAGAUACAAAAGUAAUGGUACUGAUACUUAAUUACUCCUCCCCCCCCCCCCCCUAAAAAAAAAUCAAAAAAUAAUCUAGUACUGGUACUGGUAAUGGUACUGCAUAACUCGGCAAGUACUGGUACUUAAGUACUACACCCUAAAGUACUGAUGCAGCUCUAAUUGGAAGUUACAUUAUGUAGGUACAUGUAUAGAAGGUAAAGCAUUGUAUUUUGAAAGUUAUACAAGUCAAAAUUAGGAAUUAAUGACUUCCAAACUACCCCUAAUGGAAGCCCUGGUGAUUUUAUAUGCAAAGAUGACUUAUAGGAGCUCUAAGGCUUUAAACUAACAAAUUGGCAGACACUCACAAGAAGAUGUUUCACGCAAAAUAUCUAAGCUCUUGCUCUUAGGUC